ACACCAUGGUGUGGACAAAUGACCAGCAUCCCUUUAAAACGCUCCCAUGUUUCAUGCAGUGUUUCCAUCGGUCUCUGUAUAAAGCUCAAAAUCUCAUCAAUUUGUUG
rfam:Nicotiana attenuata strain TT chromosome 7, whole genome shotgun sequence.